GGGUGGUGCCUCGUCAUCAGUGUCCACACCUUGAAGCAUAUUUAACUCUAAAGGUCUGCACCUUCAAAAAAGUGUUGCGGCGGGCCCGUAGUGGUCUGGACUCUUCCAGCUGGCUCCUGCAGGUAGCGUGAGUUUGGCCUUUGGAACAAAUCAAGGACAGUCAUGGCAGUCACUAACCAAGACCCUCACGUCACCGUGCACGUCCCACGCUGCACCUGGAGGAAGGUGGUGCGCGACUGCCUUCUGGAGGCGGUUAUGAUCGUAAGAACUAGGAGGCCAGAAACAAUUCCAUGACUCCCCUGCCUCCUCCAACCAGCUGCUUGGCACUAUGGUAGUGCUCCUAUCUUUGAAUUCGACGACCUUCCACACCUGUGCCAUCUGUCAAUGAGUCUCUGAAGCAGUGUCUCACACUCGAGUCCUGACCGAGGGCCUUGAAACUGGCAUGCCUGUUCAAAACAUCUCCAGGACAACAAGGGUCUCCGUUGUUGUCAACUGCUUCUCGGAGAGCUGGAUGGAGAGGGUUUGCAGCGUCUGUAUUCCAAUUGGUUGUCAGGGUUUUUGCAUUGGAAAUGCAUCAGUGAACAAAUCGCCUGCUUGUGCCAUCCGUAAGAAGAUGAAGGAGAAUGCGUGCAGUGGGCUGAAUGGAGAAUUCGUGAAUCAAAGGCAACACCAUCAAAUGCAUUAUGAAAUUAAGCACUAUCAGGUUGUCAAGGCUGUAGCUCAGCGGGUACAUGGUCCUGGAUACCAGAUUUUUUUUUUUUGAAAACUAUUUAUAUAUGGAAUCUGAAUGCACUCCAGGAAAUGCUGCAGUUCUUUGUGCCACAAGAGGCCAAGAAGCUCUACUACAAGACGUUGAGGCAGAAGAUGAAGAUUAUUACAAAUUAUCCAAGUCAGUUCCGACCAAGUAAUUUGAUUGGACAAGAGGCAUUCCAGUGCUGAUAUAGAGUAUAACAGCACUGGGUCUUUUAACUAUACACGUAUCGCUCCGCC
ensembl:lncRNA